CAGCAGCCGCGGGAAUACGUAGGUGGCAAGCGUUGUCCGGAAUUAUUGAGCGUAAAGGGCUCGCAGGCGGUUUCUUAAGUCUGAUGUGAAAGCCCCCGGCUCAACCGGGGAGGGUCAUUGGAAACUGGGAAACUUGAGUGCAGAAGAGGAGAGUGGAAUUCCACGUGUAGCGGUGAAAUGCGUAGAGAUGCGGAGGAACACCAGUGGCGAAGGCGACUCUCUGGUCUGUAACUGACGCUGAGGAGCGAAAGCGUGGGGAGCGAACAGGAUUAGAUACCCCGGUAGUCCCUGUCUCUUAUAU
rnacentral:rRNA from 1 species